GGAGUUUGGGCCGUGUCUCAGUCCCAAUGUGGCCGUUCACCCUCUCAGGCCGGCUACUGAUCGUCGCCUUGGUGGGCCGUUACCUCACCAACUAGCUAAUCAGACGCGGGUCCAUCUUACACCACCGGAGUUUUUCACACUGUACCAUGCGGUACUGUGCGCUUAUGCGGUUUUAGCAAUCAUUUCUGAUUGUUAUCCCCUGUACAGGGCAGGUUCUCCACGCGUUACUCACCCGUCCGCCACUAACUUUAUAUAUCCUUUGACCGAAGUCUCAUUCAAUAUGAAGUCCGUUCGACUUGCAUGUGUUAGGCACGCCGCCAGCGUUCAUC
rnacentral:rRNA from 1 species